AUUGAACGCUGGCGGCAGGCUUAACACAUGCAAGUCGAGCGGGGUGAUGGUGCUUGCACUAUCACUUAGCGGCGGACGGGUGAGUAAUGCUUAGGAAUCUGCCUAUUAGUGGGGGACAACAUCUCGAAAGGGAUGCUAAUACCGCAUACGUCCUACGGGAGAAAGCAGGGGAUCACUUGUGACCUUGCGCUAAUAGAUGAGCCUAAGUCGGAUUAGCUAGUUGGUGGGGUAAAGGCCUACCAAGGCGACGAUCUGUAGCGGGUCUGAGAGGAUGAUCCGCCACACUGGGACUGAGACACGGCCCAGACUCCUACGGGAGGCAGCAGUGGGGAAUAUUGGUCAAUGGGGGGAACCCUGAUCCAGCCAUGCCGCGUGUGUGAAGAGGGCCUUAUGGUUGUAAAGCACUUUAAGCGAGGAGGAGGCUCUUUUGGUUAACACCCAAGAUGAGUGGACGUUACUCGCAGAAUAAGCACCGGCUAACUCUGUGCCAGCAGCCGCCGUAA
rnacentral:rRNA from 1 species